UACGUAGGGUGCAAGCGUUGUCCGGAAUUAUUGAGCGUAAAGAGCUCGUAGGCGGUUUGUCGCGUCGAAUGUGAAAACCCGGGGCUCAACUCCGGGCCUGCAUUCGAUACGGGCAGACUAGAGUUCGGUAGGGGAGACUGGAAUUCCUGGUGUAGCGGUGAAAUGCGCAGAUAUCAGGAGGAACACCGGUGGCGAAGGCGGGUCUCUGGGCCGAUACUGACGCUGAGGAGCGAAAGCGUGGGGAGCGAACAGG
rnacentral:rRNA from 1 species